rnacentral:rRNA from 1 species
UACGAAGGGGGCUAGCGUUGCUCGGAAUCACUGGGCGUAAAGGGUGCGUAGGCGGGUCUUUAAGUCAGGGGUGAAAUCCUGGAGCUCAACUCCAGAACUGCCUUUGGUACUGAAGAUCUUGAGUUCGGGAGAGGUGAGUGGAACUGCGAGUGUAGAGGUGAAAUUCGUAGAUAUUCGCAAGAACACCAGUGGCGAAGGCGGCUCGCUGGCCCGAUACUGACGCUGAGGCACGAAAGCGUGGGGAGCAAACAGG